UGGGGAAUUUUGGACAAUGGGCGAAAGCCUGGUCCAGCAAUGCCGCGUGUGUGAAGAAGGCCUUCGGGUUGUAAAGCACUUUUGUCCGGAAAGAAAUCCUUGGCUCUAAUACAGUCGGGGGAUGACGGUACCGGAAGAAUAAGCACCGGCUAACUACGUGCCAGCAGCCGCGGUAAUACGUAGGGUGCAAGCGUUAAUCGGAAUUACUGGGCGUAAAGCGUGCGCAGGCGGUUUGCUAAGACCGAUGUGAAAUCCCCGGGCUCAACCUGGGAACUGCAUUGGUGACUGGCAGGCUAGAGUAUGGCAGAGGGGGGUAGAAUUCCACGUGUAGCAGUGAAAUGCGUAGAGAUGUGGAGGAAUACCGAUGGCGAAGGCAGCCCCCUGGGCCAAUACUGACGCUCAUGCACGAAAAGCGUGGGGGAGCAAAACAGGAUUAGAUACCCUGGUAGUCCACGCCCUAAAACGAUGUCAACUAGUUGUUGGGGAUUCAUUUCCUUAGUAACGUAGCUAACGCGUGAAGUUGACCGCCUGGGGAGUACGGUCGCAAGAUUAAAACUUAAAUGAAUUGACGGGGUCAUAGCUGUUUCCU
rnacentral:rRNA from 1 species